UACGUAGGGCGCAAGCGUUUGUCCGGAAUUAUUGGGCGUAAAGAGCUCGUAGGCGGUUUGUCGCGUCUGUCGUGAAAGCUUGGGGCUUAACCCCAAGUCUGCGGUGGAUACGGGCAGACUAGAGGCAGGUAGGGGAGAACGGAAUUCCCGGUGUAGCGGUGAAAUGCGCAGAUAUCGGGAGGAACACCGGUGGCGAAGGCGGUUCUCUGGGCAUCUCCUGACGCUGAGGCGCGAAAGCUAGGGGAGCGAACGGGG
rnacentral:rRNA from 1 species